AUGUUUGAUCUGUGAAAAUUUAAGUUGUUUAGAGAUGUAUGAAAGUCUAAAGUUUGCGCAGUUACUUAUAAAUGAAAUGCCCUGCAUUAUUUUAAUGAAUUAUUCAGUUGUAUUAUGAUAGCAAAUAGUUCUACAACGUAUCCACGAAUAACUUCAUCGGACAUUUCAGCAUGCAUUACCUAUAUCUCAACUUGGUCAUCGUCUAAUAGCUUAUCCUCUACCUUUGUUGCACUGAGAAAAGAAUAAAUAUGCAUGAACUGCAUAAUGCAAGACUCGGCUUGCAUUAUCAAAAACCGAAGAGAGGAUCCUCGACCGAAGGUGCAUCAGUUGUCAUUCGCAAUCUUGCUGGCAAUCAAAAAGUUGCUUUACAAGAUACUUCAGUCCUGAUGAUAAAUUUUACAGGCAUGAGACGCUUCACUCGCUGGCUACGGAUGUUUAAAGGAAUAUUCUGCAUUUUAGAAUCUGGAUGUUAGCCGUAAUCUUUUCCUGAACCCAACGAACUUCCAAAGUCAAAGAAGAUUUAUUACUGGCAAGUUAUUUCAAGUAUUGAUAAAACUUGGAGCAUCAAUACUUUGUAAAUAAGCUUAAAUGGAAAAAUCGAUUGUCAUGGGUGAUGUAUUUUUCAUUUAAAUUAACUAUUAAGUUUGAAAAUUAUUUUGGACACUUGGAGCAAGUUCACAACCUGUUGUCGCUAACUGAUUAAAAUUGAGAUUCUUGAGUUCAAAUUCUGCAAAUAUGUUUGUGGGGGUGAUAGCCAAGCAAUAAAAAGUUCGAAUUAUUUAAUAUUCGAGAAUUAGCGAGUGACGAUAUAGUUACGUUAAUGAUGCACAAAUUAUGAACAAACUGAAGAUAACCAAUUUACAGGAUGAAAUUACGAUAAUCAGGUUCAAAGCUAACAUAAAAGUUUGUCUUUUAAACAACACGAAGUAAUAGUUCGUCUUCACAUCACCGCGUCUUGGCGUCAACUGAAGCAACUCGUUUCCUUCGCCAGAAGCGCUGCUCAAUGGCAGGAAGUGAAACACCUGGCACCGCAUAUGUAUCCGUAAAAAGAACAUUCCGAUCUAGAAUCGGAUAAAAAUCAAAUUAACUGUUCAUUUAAAGUAUAUUAAUGAAAACUUGCUU